rnacentral:sRNA from 1 species
GUCGUGAGAUGUUGGGUUAAGUCCCGCAACGAGCGCAACCCCCGUCCUUAGUUGCUACCAUUUAGUUGAGCACUCUAAGGAGACUGCCGGUGAUAAGCCGCGAGGAAGGUGGGGAUGACGUCAAGUCCUCAUGGCCCUUACGGGCUGGGCUACACACGUGCUACAAUGGCGGUGACAGUGGAACGCUAAGGGGCAACCCUUCGCAAAUCUCAAAAAGCCGUCUCAGUUCGGAUUGGGCUCUGCAACUCGAGCCCAUGAAGUUGGAAUCGCUAGUAAUCGUGGAUCAGCACGCCACGGUGAAUACGUUCCCGGGCCUUGUACACACCGCCCGUCACACCAUGGGAGUUGGUUUUACCUGAAGACGGUGCGCUAACCCGCAAGGGAGGCAGCCGGCCACGGUAGGGUCAGCGACUGGGGUGAAGUCGUAACAAGGUAGCCGUAGGGGAACCUGCGGCUGGAUCACCUCCUUUCUAAGGAUGGUUCUUCAGAAGCUUGUUACUUGUAGCUUGCGGAUAUCGAACCGUUUUAGAAACAUCAGUGGCCAACGAUCGUCAGGAUCGUUGAGCUGCAUUGGCGGGAUUUCGCCGUCUACGUUUCUCUUUCUUCGCGGACGAACACGCGCCAGGGGCUUAGCGCUUGUGCGAUGCAUCUGGCGUGAGCCGGUUGCGCGCAGGCAUGUCCCUCGUGUUAGGGGCUUGUAGCUCAGUUGGUUAGAGCGCGCGCUUGAUAAGCGUGAGGUCGGAAGUUCAAGUCUUCCCAGGCCCACCACCUUGAUCGAGCGCAUGCGUCUCAUAGCCGGCAACAGCAUUCGUCUUCUGGUACGGGGCCAUAGCUCAGCUGGGAGAGCGCGUGCUUUGCAAGCAUGAGGUCGUCGGUUCGAUCCCGUCUGGCUCCACCAGAUGAUAUCGAAGCUCGAUGCAAUGCUUGAACAAGGCGCCUCGAAUAAUCGUCCGCGAAACAUCACUUCGCAAGCAACGUCUUUACAGACUUUGCCUGCGGGAUUUCUGACAUCGUAAAGAGGAGAUCGAUCCGAGUUUUGGAUCUGCAAAGCAAUUUGCGGAAUUCAACUCAUAAUCUCCAGAUCAUUUCGGCGCUCGUUCAUCGUAACUCAUCGCAAGAUGGGUGAGAUGAGUGAGUUGUAAAUGAUCUUUUUAGCGAAGCUUGACCGCCUCGCUAUCGGUUCGAUCUUACGAAGCAAGCUGGUCUUUCUAAUCAUUGUCCGGCCGCGACGACAGCCUUCAUCGAGGGGGCGCGUUUUGGGGUUUCGACCUCAAGGCAAUCGUUGCGGACUACAUUCUGCCGAGUGUGUGGACAUUGAUAAUGAGAGCAAUCAAGUGCCUUAAGGGUGUUCGGUGGAUGCCUUGGCGCUGAGAGGCGAUGAAGGACGUGCUACGCUGCGAUAAGCCGUGGGGAGCUGCGAAGAAGCUUUGAUCCACGGAUUU